rnacentral:rRNA from 1 species
GAUCAUGGCUCAGAGCGAACGCUGGCGGCAUGCUUAACACAUGCAAGUCGCACGGGCAGCAAUGUCAGUGGCGGACGGGUGAGUAACGCGUAGGAACGUGUCCUUAGGUGGGGGACAACCCCGGGAAACUGGGGCUAAUACCGCAUAUGGGCUGAGGCCCAAAGCCGAGAGGCGCCUUUGGAGCGGCCUGCGUCCGAUUAGGUAGUUGGUGGGGUAAAGGCCUACCAAGCCUGCGAUCGGUAGCUGGUCCG